UACGUAGGGUGCAAGCGUUGUCCGGAAUUAUUGGGCGUAAAGAGCUCGUAGGCGGUUUGUCGCGUCUGCUGUGAAAACUCGGGGCUUAACUCCGGGCCUGCAGUGGGUACGGGCAGACUAGAGGCAGGUAGGGGAGAAUGGAAUUCCCGGUGUAGCGGUGAAAUGCGCAGAUAUCGGGAGGAACACCGGUGGCGAAGGCAGGUCUCUGGGCUGACACUGACGCUCAUGCACGAAAGCGUGGGGAGCAAACAGG
rnacentral:rRNA from 1 species